rnacentral:rRNA from 1 species
AUUGAACGCUGGCGGCAGGCCUAACACAUGCAAGUCGAACGAGUGGCGGACGGGUGCGUAAUGUCUGGGAAACUGCCCGAUGGAGGGGGAUAACUACUGGAAACGGUAGCUAAUACCGCAUACCAUCGGAUGAGCCCAGAUGGGAUUAGCUAGUAGGUGGGGUAACGGCUCACCUAGGCGACGAUCCCUAGCUGGUCUGAGAGGAUGACCAGCCAAACUGGAACUGAGACACGGCCCAGACUCCUACGGGAGGCAGCAGUGGGGAAUAUUGCACAAUGGGCGCAAGCCGGAUGCAGCCAUGCCGCGUGUAUGAAGAAGGCCUUCGGGUUGUAAAGUACUUUCAGCGAGGAGGCGUUACCCGCAGAAGAAGCAGCGGCUAACUCCGGGCCAGCAGCCGCGGUAAUUC